GAUAAAUUAAUUUCAUAAACUAUAAAACAAUUGUUUUGAAAACAAUUUAUUAACACUUUUAUUA
rnacentral:tRNA from 1 species